ACUGAAGAAUUGGAUCAGGUUGGACAAAAGCCAGUACCACAGACUUCUGGAGUUAGUGACACCUCUUAUUGCCAGAAAUGACACCAGGAUGAGGAAGGCUGUCACUGCAGGAGAGCGUUUGAGACAGGUUGAAGCCACGCGGAAAGUCUCGGUCUUGGUCUUGGAAAUGUAAACAAAGGCGGAAAUUUGCAGGCGGAAACGAUCCUGAUCGUCUGACAAAUUCAUGCGAUAAGUUCAUGCGGAACGAUGAAAAAUCGACGGAAAUCGCAUUAAUCGACGGAAAAAGUGCUAGUGUGACACCGCCUUAAGUGUCCCUCCUUGUCGAACAUUUGCUGGACAUCAGGAAAUCAACCUUGCUUUUGAGUCUGUAAAAGUACUACUCGAGGACUUUUACGUGCCCGGCGGCAUUUAAGGCAUUUUCGAAGUAAACUUGCGAGUUCUACGAGUUAGAAGGACACGAAGAAGAAAUCUCUAUUUUGAAAGCCAAAUUUCACUUUCAAAGUCUCCAAUAAUACGCCCCCAGAUACUAAAGAGAUUUCCUGUAAAGUUUUCUCAAAUUUCCUAGCUUCUGUAUCAACACCAGACGCUCUAGGAGGAAUAUUUUGAGGUUGUUUGUGUUUGGUUUGCGAGCUGACGAACCCGUUGUGUCAAACUUUGGAACUGGCCAACUUUAAUUAACCACGAAGCAAAGAGUUGGACGGACGAGUAGAGACCUUAGUUUAAAAGAGGAGGAGGUAAAUGAAAAAAAUAAAUAACGAGUGGGGAGUUUGCUCAACAAAUUCACGAGUAGGAAUUUUAGUCUGGAAGGAACAAGGUUAAUGGCAAGGUGAGGAGCGAGUAGAGUGUUUGCUUGACAAAUUCACGAGUAGGAAUUCUAGUCUGGAGGGGACAAGGUUAAUGGUAAGGUAAGGAGCAAGUAGAGAGUUUAUACUUAACAAAUUCACGAGUAGGAAUUCUAGUCUGAAGGGAACAAGGUUAAUGGUAAGGUGAGGAGCGAGUAGAGAGUUUAUACUUAACAAAUUCACGAGUAGGAAUUUUAGUCUGGAGGGAACAAGGCUAAUGGUAAGGUGAGGAGCGAGUAGAGAGUUUGCUUAACAAAUUCACAAACAGGAAUUUUAGUCUGGAGGGGACAAGGUUAAUGGUAAGGUAAGGAGCAAGUAGAGAGUUUAUACUUAACAAAUUCACGAGUAGGAAUUCUAGUCUGAAGGGAACAAGGUUAAUGGUAAGGUGAGGAGCAAGUAGAGAGUUUAUACUUAACAAAUUCACGAGUAGGAAUUCUAGUCUGGAGGGAACAAGGUUAAUGGUCAAGUGGGGUACCUAGUGAAGUGGGAAAAAUGAGAAAGGAGAAAGAACGAGGGGACUUACCGGCAGCCAGGGCCCCAGCGGCAAGCGUCAACAGCCACAGCAUCUUCAUCUUGCCU